rnacentral:rRNA from 1 species
GACGAACGCUGGCGGCGUGCUUAACACAUGCAAGUCGAACGGAAAGGCCCUGCUUUUGUGGGGUGCUCGAGUGGCGAACGGGUGAGUAACACGUGAGUAACCUGCCCUUGACUUUGGGAUAACUUCAGGAAACUGGGGCUAAUACCGGAUAGGAGCUCCUGCUGCAUGGUGGGGGUUGGAAAGUUUCGGCGGUUGGGGAUGGACUCGCGGCUUAUCAGCUUGUUGGUGGGGUAGUGGCUUACCAAGGCUUUGACGGGUAGCCGGCCUGAGAGGGUGACCGGCCACAUUGGGACUGAGAUGCGGCCCAGACUCCUACGGGAGGCAGGAGUGGGGAAUAUUGCACAAUGGGCGGAAGCCUGAUGCAGCAACGCCGCGUGCGGGAUGACGGCCUUCGGGUUGUAAACCGCUUUCGCCUGUGACGAAGCGUGAGUGACGGUAAUGGGUAAAGAAGCACCGGCUAACUACGUG